ACUCUGAGUAGGUAACAGGUACCAGCUACUGUCAGCAGGGAGGAAGGUAUGUGGUGACCACGAGUCCAGACCUGAGGGUCCUGACCCUCUAAUGCGGCCUCUCACCAGUGUUCGCAGAAACCCACCCGCUGAUUCAAUACGGGGACCAGGAACCUGCCAUGACAGUCACGACUCAGUCUGCCUGCACCUACAUGAUUAAAAAGCUUUAUUGCUCACACAAAGCCUGUUUGGUGGUCUCUUCAUAUGGAUGCGCAUAACAUUUGGUGCCGAAGACCCCGGACAGGGUGACUCCUUCGGGAGAUUGGUCCCCUCUCCUCACCCUCACUCCAUGAGAAGAUCCACCUACGACCUCAGGUCCUCAGACCAGCCCAAGGAACAUCUCACCAAUUUCAAACCGGGUAAGAAUGUCAGGCCUCUGAGCCCGAGCUAAGCCAUCAUAUCCCCUGUGACCUGCGCUUAUACAUCCAGAUGGCCUGAAGCAACUGAAGAACCACAAAGAAGUGAAAAUACCCAGUUCCUGCCUUAACUGAUGACAUUCCACCAUUGUAAUUUGUUCCUGCCCCACCCUAACUGAUCAGUUGACCUUGUGACAUUCCUUCUCCUGGACAAUAAAUCUCAGGAGCUCCCCACUGAGCACCUUGUGACCCCCGCCUGUACCCGCAAGAGGACAACCCCCUUUAACUGUAAUUUUCCACUACCUACACAAAUCCUAUAAAACCGCCCCAUCCCUAUCUCCCUUUGCUGACUCUUUUUUCAGACUCAGUCUGCCUGCACCCACAUGAUUAAAAAGCUUAAUUGCUCACACAAAGCCUGUUUGGUGGUCUCUUAACAUGAAUGCACGUAACACAACCACCUUCAGGGCUCAAGAAAUCCUCCUUCUCUGCCUCCUGAGUAGCUGGGACUGCAGGUGCACACCACCACCCCCAGUUAAUUUUUGUAUUUUUUGUAGAGACGGGGUUUUGCCAUGUUGCUCAGGCUGGUCUUGAACUCUUGAGCUCAAGCAAUCCACUUGCCUCUAGCACCUAAAGUGUGGAGGGAGAACUACUUCAUUCUGAGAAUGUGGGAAAAGUGGGGACUUUGUGUCCAUGUUACUUCAGGCACAAGUUGCAAGAAGAAGAGGAUGGCUCAGGUUUGCCUAGCAAUAAAGGACAGUGCUGGAAGACUGGUGGCAUUGGUCAUAGGAAAGAAGGAACUACCGGACAUGUGGACUUGGAAAACACAUGACCCAGGGCAGUUCUGUGAUGGGACAUCUUCCUUGGAUGGUCAUGGG
rnacentral:lncRNA from 10 species